rnacentral:rRNA from 1 species
UACGGAGGGGGCUAGCGUUGUUCGGAAUUACUGGGCGUAAAGCGCACGUAGGCGGCUUUGUAAGUUAGAGGUGAAAGCCCGGGGCUCAACCCCGGAAUUGCCUUUGAGACUGCAUCGCUAGAAUUGUGGAGAGGUAAGUGGAAUUCCGAGUGUAGAGGUGAAAUUCGUAGAUAUUCGGAAGAACACCAGUGGCGAAGGCGACUUACUGGACGCAAAUUGACGCUGAGGUGCGAAAGCGUGGGGAGCAAACAGG